rnacentral:rRNA from 1 species
CCCUUAGAUGUUCUGGGCUGCACGCGCGCUACACUGAUGCGAUCAACAAGUUUUUCCUAUGUCGAUAGACACGGGUAAUCUUUUGAACUCGCAUCGUGAUGGGGAUAGAUUAUUGUAAUUAUUAAUCUUCAACGAGGAACUCCUAGUAGGUGCAAAUCAUCAGUUUGCAUCGAUUACGUCCCUGCCCUUUGUACACACCGCCCGUCGCUGCUACCGAUUGGUUGAUCUGGUGAAUUAUUCGGACUGCCGGCUGAAGGGGUUUCCUCAUCUGCCAGCGGAAAGUCUUGUUAACCCUAUCAACUAGAGGAAGCAGAAGUCGUAACA